GAAUUUGAGGCUGAUUUGGCUGCAAUGUCUGCCACCUACUGAUCCCCCACAUUGAUUAGGCUGACCUGGCUGGCUAGGCAGGGGUUCCCUUCCUCCCUCACAAUUUUAUGUGUGUCCCUCCUGCAUGUUUGGGUCUCAGACCAAAUGGAAGAGGAACAAUCUUUAGUCAAGGGCACACACGUCGCUGUGUCGAUCUCUUGAACCUCUAAACAAGCUCUCAGAAAGAAAUCAAAACAAAACGGAAAAUGCCUAGCCUCAAACGUCUCAGACGCCAUGGGACUUCAGAC
rnacentral:snRNA from 1 species